UUGAUUUUCUGUCCUUUGGCAGAGUGUGUUCGAGGCUUCCAAUUCUUGAAUCGAUGGAGGCUGGCGCUGCGUUCUUCCAUCGGUUCUUCUUUCUUUGUAGUUCACGAUUGAUCAAUUCUUCGUGAGAUUCGUUAGCCAACUUCUCCAGACUUCUCCAGUCAUCGUCUGCGGCAAUUGCAGAUCGCCGGAGUGGCCUCCUCUGGCCAUAGAGAGGCCUUGCCGUUUGCCGCCGCUGUCGUCGGCAGUCAUGUGGCGGAUUGAAGCGCCGGAGGGCGCCGCUUCGACGCGCCUACAGAGGAGGGCGUCGUCAACCAUGGGGUGCCUCAGCCGCCUGCAUCGCGCGCUGGUGCUGCGCCGCUGGAGCGCUGUCGAGGCCGAGGGUCCUCGUGUCCUUGGGGCCGGAGGGAGGGUCAGGGACGGUGGAGCCGUCGAGUUCUUGGCCUAAUUGCUCUCUGGAAGAGGCGUGCGUGAUAACGUGUUAGAGAGAAUCGAGAGAGAGGAGCGAAUGGAAAACAGAUAUAUGAAUGAACAGUUAUUCUAUUGAUUGAA